rnacentral:rRNA from 1 species
UUCGCCCUUAGAGUUUGAUCCUGGCUCAGGACGAACGCUGGCGGCGCGCCUAACACAUGCAAGUCGAACGAGCGAGAGAGAGCUUGCUUUCUCAAGCGAGUGGCGAACGGGUGAGUAACGCGUGAGGAACCUGCCUCAAAGAGGGGGACAACAGUUGGAAACGACUGCUAAUACCGCAUAAGCCCACGACCCGGCAUCGGGUAGAGGGAAAAGGAGCAAUCCGCUUUGAGAUGGCCUCGCGUCCGAUUAGCUAGUUGGUGAGGUAAUGGCCCACCAAGGCGACGAUCGGUAGCCGGACUGAGAGGUUGAACGGCCACAUUGGGACUGAGACACGGCCCAGACUCCUACGGGAGGCAGCAGUGGGGAAUAUUGCACAAUGGGGGAAACCCUGAUGCAGCGACGCCGCGUGGAGGAAGAAGGUCUUCGGAUUGUAAACUCCUGUUGUUGAGGAAGAUAAUGACGGUACUCAACAAGGAAGUGACGGCUAACUACGUGCCAGCAGCCGCGGUAAAACGUAGGUCACAAGCGUUGUCCGGAAUUACUGGGUGUAAAGGGAGCGCAGGCGGGAAGACAAGUUGGAAGUGAAAUCCAUGGGCUCAACCCAUGAACUGCUUUCAAAACUGUUUUUCUUGAGUAGUGCAGAGGUAGGCGGAAUUCCCGGUGUAGCGGUGGAAUGCGUAGAUAUCGGGAGGAACACCAGUGGCGAAGGCGGCCUACUGGGCACCAACUGACGCUGAGGCUCGAAAGUGUGGGUAGCAAACAGGAUUAGAUACCCUGGUAGUCCACACUGUAAACGAUGAUUACUAGGUGUUGGAGGAUUGACCCCUUCAGUGCCGCAGUUAACACAAUAAGUAAUCCACCUGGGGAGUACGACCGCAAGGUUGAAACUCAAAGGAAUUGACGGGGGCCCGCACAAGCAGUGGAGUAUGUGGUUUAAUUCGACGCAACGCGAAGAACCUUACCAAGUCUUGACAUCCUGCGACGCACGUAGAAAUAUGUGUUUCCUUCGGGACGCAGAGACAGGUGGUGCAUGGUUGUCGUCAGCUCGUGUCGUGAGAUGUUGGGUUAAGUCCCGCAACGAGCGCAACCCUUACUGUCAGUUACUACGCAAGAGGACUCUGGCCAGACUGCCGUUGACAAAACGGAGGAAGGUGGGGAUGACGUCAAAUCAUCAUGCCCCUUAUGACCUGGGCCUCACACGUACUACAAUGGCUGUUAACAGAGGGAUGCAAAGCCGCGAGGUGGAGCGAACCCCUAAAAGCAGUCUUAGUUCGGAUUGUAGGCUGCAACCCGCCUACAUGAAGUCGGAAUUGCUAGUAAUCGCAGAUCAGCAUGCUGCGGUGAAUACGUUCCCGGGCCUUGCACACACCGCCCGUCA